GUAACAGUUUUUGAUGCCCUUUCGAACGUCGUUGUGUGUAAAGUGUGUCAUUCUGAAGUAAAAUUCUCAGAGAGCAGUAAACGAGGAUUGGGAUUUAAACUUGUUGUAUCCUGUGAUAAAUGCGAGAAAAAAGAAAUACCGAAUAGCACAUACAUCAAGAAUGCCUACGAAUAAUCGAAGAAUUAUUUUUGCCAUGCGAUUGCUUGGAAUCGGUCUGCAUGGAAUAAGAAAAUUUCGCGCGUUUAUGGAAUUGCCCCGCCCCGUCUUUCAAGCGACUUAUGACAGUAUUAUCGCACACAUUUUGUCUGCAAGAGAAGUAGUUUUCAAGAGCAGUAUGUCAAAUGCAGCACAAGAAGAUGAUGUUUUCGAAGCCAUAAAGCCGGUAUACCCGCUGCAUUGGAGGAUACACGCAAAAUAACAAUGAGAGUUUCAACUCGACUGUGUGGGCGAUGGCUCCAAAAACGAUGAAUUUCGUUUCGAGUUUUGCCAGGCAGUGGACCAGAACCGCAUCAAAAAAGCAGAAUAAUCAUUGAGUGAUGGAGCAAAACAGGCCCGCCUCGACUUAAAAGCUGUUUGGAAGGAGAAGCAACAGGUGGACAUCGAUAUAGAAGGCCAAUUGUAUGAUGCAGGCAUCGCAGAUUAAAGGUGUAGAUCCUUGGAACUGGUAACGGCGUAAUAUGCGCUCUCCUUAUAGUGAGAAGACGAAAUUUGUUUUUAUUUUUGACAGUUGUGUUCCGUUUUUAUAUAUUUUUAAGUAAACGACUAUGCCAAAGUUUCCAGCUGUAUUAAAUGAAAUUCCGAAUAUUAUUCUUAGCAUACAGUUUGAGGCUAAGAUUAAUUAAAUAAUAUUAAACGUAUUUUAAUUGCCGGAGAAUAACUAUCAUCGGUAAAAAUAAAAGUCGCUAUACGUAAUAAAAGUCAAAAGAUGGCUGCAGCAAUAGAUUAAAAAAAAUGUAUUGGCAAUAGAUGGCGUCAAAAUUUAAUUCAAGACCUCUAGCGGAAUGGCAAAUAACAUAAAAAACAUCGGUAGGCGAUGAAUUGCCCAAAAAUCGAUGGCGAUAGAUGGCACAUUAUACGGUCCUCACAGAGCCACUUACAGUUUUUGCGAAAAAAAAGUAGAUAGAGGUAAAAUCAAAAUUGGACUACCGCCAACAGAAGUAAUAAUAACGCAGAACUAAAAACAAAUUACACAUUAGUAAGUGAAAUUUUUUACAAUUUUAAAAACAUACGAAAUCUAUCAAAUUCAUUCAUGAUUGUUCUAUAACACCUUUAAUAAAUAGUAAUCCGAUCAACACGAUUUCUUAGCGUAAUUUAAGACAAAAUCGCUGUUGAUUUAAUAUGCCAUUCAAAUUCACAAGUGAUUCAGGUUUCAGACUCUUAAAACUAUAUUUGACCCAAACCUUAUUUUUAUGCAAUUAUACAUAAAAUGUUAUUUUGACGAGAUAUAUGUAUGACAACCAU